GGUUCGAUCAUGGCUCAGAUUGAACGCUGGCGGGAUGCUUUACACAUGCAAGUCGAACGGCAGCACGGACUUCGGUCUGGUGGCGAGUGGCGAACGGGUGAGUAAUGUAUCGGAACGUGCCUAGUAGCGGGGAUAACUACGCGAAAGCGUAGCUAACACGCCGCCCUUCGAGGAAAGCAGGGGGACCUUCGGGCCUCGCACUAUUGAAACGGCCGAUAUCGGAUUAGCUAGUUGGUGGGGUAACGGCUCACCAAGGCGACGAUCCGUAGCUGGUUUGAGAGGACAUGACCAGCCACACUGGGACUGAGACACGGCCCAGACUCCUACGGGAGGCAGCAGUGGGGAAUUUUGGACAAUGGGAAACCCUGAUCCAGCCAUCCCGCGUGCGAUGAAGGCCUUCAGGUUUGUAAAGCACUUUUG
rnacentral:misc_RNA from 1 species